GAUGAACGCUGGCGGCGUGCCUAACACAUGCAAGUCGAGCGGACAGACGAGGAGCUUUCUCCUCUUACGUUAACGGCGGACGGUUUACUAAGACGCGGAUAAGCUACUUUGAAUAAACGGAUAACAAGGUGAACUCUUAGCUAAUACCAUCUAAUAUAUUGAACCGCAGGGCUCAAUAAUUAAAGCCGGUUUUGCUGUCACUUGUAGAUGUAUCCGCGCCGCAUUUGCUAGUUGGUAAGGUAACGGCUUACCAAGUCAACGAUGCGUAGCAAACCUGAGAGGGUGAUCGGCCACACUGGAACUGAGACAGGGUCCAGACUCCUACGGGAGGCAGCAGUAGGGAAUUUUCCGCAAUGGGCGAAAGCCUGACCGAGCAAUGCCGCGUGAGUGAUGAAGGGCUUCGGAUUGUAAAACUCUGUUAUUCGGGAAGAACAACCUUGUAAGUAAACAGGAACGUCUUGACGGUACCGAAUGAGCAAGCCCCGGCUAACUACGUG
rnacentral:rRNA from 1 species